AUUGAACGCUGGCGGCAUGCCUUACACAUGCAAGUCGAACGGCAGCACGGGUGCUUGCACCUGGUGGCGAGUGGCGAACGGGUGAGUAAUACAUCGGAACAUGUCCUGUAGUGGGGGAUAGCCCGGCGAAAGCCGGAUUAAUACCGCAUACGAUCUACGGAUGAAAGCGGGGGACCUUCGGGCCUCGCGCUAUAGGGUUGGCCGAUGGCUGAUUAGCUAGUUGGUGGGGUAAAGGCCUACCAAGGCGACGAUCAGUAGCUGGUCUGAGAGGACGACCAGCCACACUGGGACUGAGACACGGCCCAGACUCCUACGGGAGGCAGCAGUGGGGAAUUUUGGACAAUGGGCGAAAGCCUGAUCCAGCAAUGCCGCGUGUGCGAAGAAGGCCUUCGGGUUGUAAAGCACUUUUGUCCGGAAAGAAAUCCUUGGCUCUAAUACAGUCGGGGGAUGACGGUACCGGAAGAAUAAGCACCGGCUAACUACGUG
rnacentral:rRNA from 1 species